rnacentral:rRNA from 1 species
GACGAACGCUGGCGGCGUGCUUAACACAUGCAAGUCGAACGGAAAGGCCCUGCUUGCAGGGUACUCGAGUGGGGAACGGGGGAGUAACACGUGGGUGUACUGCGCUGUACUUCGGGGUAUGCCUGGGGAACUGGGUGUAAUACAGGAUAGGAGCCAUCCUUCGUGUGGUGGUUGGAUGGAUUUUUGGGUGUAGGAUGGGUUCGCGGCCUGUCAGCUUGUUGGUGGGGUAAUGGCCUACCAAGGAGGCGUCGGGUAGCCGGCCUGGGAGGGUGGACGGCCACAUUGGGACUGAGAUACGGCCCAGACUCCUACGGGAGGCAGCAGGGGGGAAUAUUGCACAAUGGGCGCAAGCCUGAUGCAGCGACGCCGCGUGGGGGAAGACGGCCUUCGGGUUGGAAACUCCUUUCGCUAGGGACGAAGCUUUUUGUGACGGUACCUAGAUAAGAAGCACCGGCUAACUACGUG